AACGAACGCUGGCGGCAGGCUUAACACAUGCAAGUCGAACGCUCGUAGCAAUACGGGAGUGGCGGACGGGUGAGUAACGCGUGGGAACGUGCCCUGAGGUACGGAAUAACUGAGGGAAACUUCAGCUAAUACCGUAUGAGCCCCGAGAGGGGGAAAGAUUUAUCGCCUUGGGAGCGGCCCGCGUCGGAUUAGCUAGUUGGUGGGGUAACGGCCUACCAAGGCUUCGAUCCGUAGCUGGUCUGAGAGGACGAUCAGCCACACUGGGACUGAGACACGGCCCAGACUCCUACGGGAGGCAGCAGUGGGGAAUCUUGCGCAAUGGGGGCAACCCUGACGCAGCCAUGCCGCGUGAACGAUGAAGGCCUUAGGGUUGUAAAGUUCUUUUACCCGUGACGAUGAUGACGGUAACGGGGAAUAAGCUCCGGCUAACUUCGUGCCAGCAGCCG
rnacentral:rRNA from 1 species